rnacentral:rRNA from 1 species
UGAGAUCUUCGGAUGGAUUUUAAAACAGCUUAGUGGCGGACGGGUGAGUAACGCGUGGGUAACCUGCCUCACACUGGGGGAUAACAGUUAGAAAUAGCUGCUAAUACCGCAUAAGCCCACGGCCCGGCAUCGGGCUGAGGGAAAAGGAUUUAUUCGCUUCAGGAUGGACUCGCGUCCAAUUAGCUAGUUGGUGGGGUAACGGCCUACCAAGCCAACGAUCAGUAGCCGACCUGAGAGGGUGAUCGGCCACAUUGGGACUGAGACACGGCCCAGACUCC